GACAGAGGUGCCAAGCGUUAGGCGGAAUCACUGGGCUUAAAGCGUGUGUAGGCGGAUCGUUAAGUACCUUGUGAAACCCCGGGGCUCAACCCCGGAACUGCAUCCGAUACUGCGUGGCUAGAGGUAGGUAGGGGAGAUCGGAAUUCCUGGUGUAGCGGUGAAAUGCGCAGAUAUCAGGAGGAACACCGGUGGCGAAGGCGGAUCUCUGGGCCUUACCUGACGCUCAGGCACGAAAGCUAGGGGAGCGAACAGG
rnacentral:rRNA from 1 species